GGAAGCUCUGUGCCUGAAGGGGACCAGCCGCCAUCUCAAGUCUCUUGGCCUCGCCCGUGCCCACCGGAGAGAACUGACACCUGGGUCCUAUAGUCCUUAUGGGGGACCAACCUUGUAACUCCGGGAGAUCCACGCUUCCGCCUGGAAGCUCGCGGGAAGCCAAGCCUCCCAAAAAACGCUGCCUUUUAGCUCCACGGUGGAAUUAUCCUGAAGGAACCCCCAACGGAGGUAGUACCCCUCUCCCCUCCGCACCGCCUCCUUCAUCAGCGGGCCUGAAGUCGCACCCUGCUCCUCCGGAGAAGUAGUAGAAUAUACUUCUACUUAAACCAGAUUGAAGUAUGACUCCAUUUUCUUGGUGCAUUUUUAAAAUAGUUCGUCCAAUGAAGACAGUGAUUAUUGACAUGCCAUCCUGCUUUUUCUGAUGCUCUGCACCUAGAAGUUGCAAUUUUUAAGUCCUAUGAUGUUAUCAGCUUGACUUCAUCAUCUGGAUUUGGAGAAUUCUGAGAUAUGACCAAGAUCAGACUAGUCCUCUAAGAUUGAAGUGCAAGGCAAAUGAAUCAUGGUGAACUCACCACAGCAAAUAAUGCCUGUGAUAUGGAACCAUAGCAGAAAAUCAGUGUUCUCUUUUGGUGGCACCCAAUACUUGCUGUAUAACUUUGAAUUACUAUAAAUACAUUAAGAUCCCAAUAAAUUUUGUCUCUCAUUUCUGUGUUAGAUCUGUAUGACUACUAGCUAGUAAAUUAUGACUUUUCACUAUGAUUUUCAUAAUGACUCAAGAUAUGAAAUA